rnacentral:rRNA from 1 species
UACGUAGGGGGCGAGCGUUAUCCGGAUUUAUUGGGCGUAAAGCGUGUGUAGGCGGUUAGUUAAGUCUAAGAUUAAAGCCUGGAGCUCAACUCCAGAUCGUCUUAGAAACUGGCUGACUUGAGUAUAGUAGAGGCAAGUGGAAUUUCUAGUGUAGCGGUAAAAUGUGUAGAUAUUAGAAGGAACAUCAGUGGCGAAGGCGACUUGCUGGGCUAUUACUGACGCUGAGACACGAAAGCGUGGGGAGCGAAUAGGAUUAGAUACCCUAGUAGUCCACGCCGUAAACGAUGAGUACUAAGUGUUGGAUUUUUCCAGUGCUGAAGUUAACGCAUUAAGUACUCCGCCUGAGUAGUACGGUCGCAAGGCUGAA